ensembl:lncRNA
CAGGAAUGCUUUCCGAGGUCCCACGUAACCUAAAAAGCUCUAAGAAUGCUGACAGAUUGCAGCAGCUGUAGCACUGCUGGAAGAGACCAGAUUCAUGAAUGUGAUCCAGGCCUGCAUUUUACACACAAACUGCCUUGGUUCUGCUGCACAUAGGAUUGGAUAGAAGGAAAGAAGGCUACAAGACCUUAAGUAGCUACACUGAGUGACAAGUACAAGCUCUUUUAUGUCCCAGAGCUCAGGUGCCACUAAGGCAUCAAGCCUAUGCAUUGAAGUUUUCUUUCCACAGAAAACAAGACGCUGGAGAUGAGGGGAUGAUUUAGAAUUGGUACGUCUUGAUACAUCUUCACCAUGUCUAGGAUUCAGAAUGCAGCUGGAAUAUGUAUCCACACUGAGGACCUUGAAAACACUUGGCAUCUUAAAACUCAGAUGACAAAGCCUACUGCUUCCUCUGUAUUCUUUGAUGUUACAGCUGAAUUUUCAUUAAAGUACUGAGGCACUAUGAAGCUGCUGUUUACCUGCCAAAAGGGAGAAGAUUUAACUUGACAAAC